ACUCCUACGGGAGGCAGCAGUGGGGAAUAUUGGACAAUGGGGGAAACCCUGAUCCAGCGACGCCGUGUGUGUGAAGAAGGCCUGCGGGUUGUAAAGCACUUUCGGUGGGAACGAAAUAUGCCGGGCUAAUACCCCGGUAGGCUGACGUUACUCAAUGAAGAAGCACCGGCUAACUCUGUGCCAGCAGCCGCGGUAAUACA
rnacentral:rRNA from 1 species